rnacentral:rRNA from 1 species
UUUUAGACGUAAAAGUUAAAUGCUUAGUUAUUAAUAGUUAUAUUCUUUAAAAUUAAAGAAUUUGGCGGUGUUUUAGUCUAUUCAGAGGAACCUGUCCUGUAAUUGAUAACCCACAAUUUAUACUACCAAAGUUUUUAAUUUGUAUAUCGUCGUAAUUAAAUAUUUUAUAAGAAAAUAAAUAUUUAAAAUUUUUUAUAAAAAAGUAAAUCAGAUCAAGAUGCAGUUUAUAUUUUGGAAGAGAUGGGUUACAAUAAAAUUAUUUAUGGAUAAAUAACUGAAAAUUUAUUUUGAAAUAGGAUUUGAAUGUAAUUUUUUUUAUAUAUUAAAAAUGAUUUUAGCUCUAAAAUAUAC